AAUAGAUACCCAGGUAGUCCACGCCGUAAACGAUGAGUGCUAAGUGUUAGAGGGUUUCCGCCCUUUAGUGCUGUAGCUAACGCAUUAAGCACUCCGCCUGGGGAGUACGGCCGCAAGGCUGAAACUCAAAGGAAUUGACGGGGGCCCGCACAAGCGGUGGAGCAUGUGGUUUAAUUCGAAGCAACGCGAAGAACCUUACCAGGUCUUGACAUCCUCUGACACUCCUAGAGAUAGGAUUUUCCCCUUCGGGGGACAGAGUGACAGGUGGUGCAUGGUUGUCGUCAGCUCGUGUCGUGAGAUGUUGGGUUAAGUCCCGCAACGAGCGCAACCCUUGAUCUUAGUUGCCAGCAUUUAGUUGGGCACUCUAAGGUGACUGCCGGUGACAAACCGGAGGAAGGUGGGGAUGACGUCAAAUCAUCAUGCCCCUUAUGACCUGGGCUACACACGUGCUACAAUGGAUGGUACAAAGGGCUGCAAGACCGCGAGGUUUAGCCAAUCCCAUAAAACCAUUCUCAGUUCGGAUUGCAGG
rnacentral:rRNA from 1 species